CUCCCAUUGGAAGUGCAGCAGAACAUGAAGGGCUGCAAUUAUUUAGUUAGGAACGAUUUGCUGUUGCUUCUGCCUGGUUAGUCUUCCCUCACUCAGCUGAUGCCACUCAGGAAAGGGCCCUCGUUGGAAGGAGGGGAUGCCUAACAGGCUUGACAGAUUGCAGCAUAAUUGGCUUAAUUCCCCAGAGACUAAGACUCAGAACAAGUUUUCAAAGUUGAAACAAAAGUGGUGCAAGAAAUCCUUUUCUCUUUCACUUUAGCACACAGAGCACCUCACCACAGAUGGAUUUGCCUGGGAAGACUCAGCUAUGAAAAGUGUUUUAGAGCCCCUGAGUGGACCCAGCCCCACAGCUCUACUCUGAAGAAAGGUGACGGUUGUCCUUCCCUGACUACCCAAACAAACAGGCUCUAUGUGGUAUUGAAUACAUGAUAUUUGGAUUUGAGUAGGUAUGUUUAAAAUGUCCUCUGAAUGAAGCAAAACAAUGCAAGGAGGGACAAGAAAUCUCUAACAGAAUAGGUGAGUGGUUACAAUCAUGACUGAUUUCUGGAGUGUAUCUGAUACCUAAACAGUUUUUACUCAUUUUUAUUCUGCUGAUCUCCAGACUGAACAGGUGAAGUUACAUCCCUGCAUCGUGAGACUGAAGCAGCACAUACUGCACUGGUGGAUUUACUUCUUGUCCACAUCAAAAUGCAGAGACUGCUCCAUUCAUCAGGUCCAUGGCAUACAAAGGAGAUGUUAUCAACAUGUAUCUUGUGUCCUAGCAAGGAAAACUGAGAAUCAGCAGAAGCAUUCAGGCAAACAGGAACAGAUGCCUGAAAGAUCUCAUAUCAGCAGCAGGUGGAAUGGCUUGUAGGUAAAAUACCUGUAAAUGAAGCCUCUUCCCAACAGUCCCAGGUAUGCACUGCAGAAGCUGCUGCGAAGGACAGAAGCAUCAGCACCAUUCACCUUGUGUUUUCUUGUCCUUGUAUUCAAGAAAAAAUGUGCCUAUAAUUAGAAAGCAGAAUUAGUACUGAAACAAUUUUCACAUCACUGGUCCUUCAGCCUCCUCAGAUAUUAUUUGUGGUAUCUGCUUUCAUGCAAGAGGAUGGGGCCAAAUAAAAGCAAUCACAAGGGUGGAAAUGUUCUCAGCAGGAGGAAAAGGGAUUAUCAAAAAGCAGAGGAAAAAGAUUUCUGAACGUUUUGUAGUCCUGGGCAUCCAUAUGCCAUUUGAGCUAUGUAGAGAGUUAACAGAUAGCUCUAAAAAUAAAGAAUGCAUUAUUUAUUAACUUGUUAGAGCUUUCAGAAAAUAGGAGCUGAAUUCACCUGGCUAAUAAGCUACCUCAGAUCACGUCCAUUGAAAGAUACAUGCAUAUGAAUUGCAUGAACUGUGCGUUUGGUCUUUACGAGGCCAUUCAGGAACCUAAAGUUAUUUUUUCUUCUAGGAAAAAUACACGGAAUAGUUCAGCUUUUGAAUAUUUUAUAAAGUCUGUAUGCCAUUCUAUAUCUGCCCCUGCCCAUGAUUCUCCCUACGUAAGUGCGUGUAAUUCCAAUUUUAUUUCAGAACAAGAUUUGUUUGUAGUCCAAAGGAUGCGAUAUCACAGAGGAGAUUAAAGCAAGAAAACAUGCUGUUGAGAACAUAGCAUGAAGGCUAUUUUUUGGGGUCUCAUGACCUUCCAGCCCUAUACGAUGAGCAGAACAAACCAGUGAAUGUACCAGGAUGUUAAGAGUUUACAGUUUUGACAGCCUGGACCUGCUCUCUCAGAGCACAUUCUCAUGCAACUUGCAUUCAUAUUCUUGUCUCUGUCCAGCUAUGCUGAAUGGGGGGAGAUUAGCAAGAUGGGCUAGAGUGCUGCAAUGGUGUCUUGUGCUGUGGUCAGAUGUCUUUUGCAGUCCAAGGAAGGAGCUUCAUGGGUUGAUGAAGAGGUCUUGUCUGUCCCCACAUUGCUCAGAAGGACAUAGGCCAGGUUCAGAAGCGAGACUUCUUAAAUAUUUUCAUAAUCUUUGCAUUAACUAGCAAAGUGAGAACUACUCUCUGUUAAAAGUCAUUUCAUCAACAUAAAUGGAGGUUAUCUCAAAGGCAACAGGUGUUGAGGACUUUAGAGCCUGUGCUGCCCUUUCUGGGCUGUUAGGCUGGAUAAUCCUGGAAAAGGCUCUCCUUUGGUCCACGGCAAAUUCAGAGUAGGAGCUCAGGCGUUAUGGUCUUCCAUGGGUAUUGAGGAAAGCUCCGCUCUCACCCUUCUCCCAUGCUCCAGCCAUUCAUUUCCCUGACCCUGGUGACAGCCAUCCCUGCUCUGCACACCAGGGCCAACUCAGGACAAACCAGUUGUAUGCCAGCCCUGCCAGAUAUCAUGGAGGUGGAGGGCAGAGGAGGAGAAAGGAUGCAUCAGAAUCAUGGAGAUCAUCUUCUGCAAAGGAAAAAUCCUCAAUGAAGAAUGAAGCCCACAAACCAUAUAAAAGUUUAUUUGAUGACUAAGUAGGGAAGGAAAAAAAUAUAUAUGUUCUCCACAGCUCUUGUUUUCAAUACAUGCAUUACGUAUUAUUUAUUUACAUAAUUACCCAUUGCCUACUGCUAUAGCUUUUUAUUUGCAACCUCACUUGGAAAACUACACCGUGUGUUGGCCUAAGCACCCAGUCUGAAUGCAGAAGUGGUG
ensembl:lncRNA